rnacentral:misc_RNA from 1 species
AUGCGUGACGGUAUACCUACUUCCGGUGUAAUAGUAAACAAUGGGGAAAGACUAUUGUUGCAUCUUUAAUUGUCAUAAUUAUAGUGGUAGAGUCGGCAAAUUUGACAAGAAAGUGACUUUACAUAAACUUCCUAAAGAACAGUAUACACGAAGAGCGUGGAUAAGAGCAGUCAGCCGAAAAAACUGGAAACCGACCUCCUACACUCGUGUCUGCUCUGAUCACUUCAGGGACGGUAUAGGACCAAACUCAGUCGAUCGAAACAAAAUACCCACAGAAAAUUUGCCACAAAGAGGAAUUAUAACCCAUCAAAAUAAAAGACAGCCACGGACGAGAUUAGAAAACGUAGACAGUCACAUCGAUGCAUUGCAACACCAUUCGUAUGUUCUAAACAAAGAGAACAUCAUGCCAGAGUCCUCAGCAAACAUUGCUAGAUUUUCACAAACCAUGCAGACCUGUGAUCAGCCUGAUGUCUUGGAUUCAAGUUUAUACCAUGUAUCAACAUCAACUUCUGCAUCCAGCUGCAACAAGUCUACAUAAAUAUACAACCAGUCUGUUUCUGUUGGUGUAGGGGUUGUAAUGCCAGAAAUAACUAUAGAAAACAUUAAAUGUUCAAAUGAAAUGAUCAUGUUCUACACCGGUCUUCCUACACCGGUCUUCCUGAUUUUAAAACAUUCCAAGCUUUGUUUGACACUUUGAUUGAACAUGGUGCUGAUAAGUUGUGCACAGAAUCUGUUGGUGAAAUGAACAUUGUCAGUUUAGGGAGAAAACGCAAGUUACGGCGUGUUGAUGAGUUUUUGUUAGUUAUGAUGAGAUUAAGGCUGGGAUUAUUGGUCAAAGACUUAGAAUUUCGCUUUAAAAUUUCCUCAAGUACAGUAUCAAAGAUUUUUAAUUCAUGGAUUUUGUUUAUGUGCGAGUGUAUGCAAUCAAUCAUUACUCUACCAGAAUUAAAUGUUUUGCAGU